rnacentral:rRNA from 1 species
GACGAACCGUGCGAACGUUGUUCGGAUUCACUGGGCUUAAAGGGCGCGUAGGCGAGUUUUCAAGUCUGGGGUGAAAUCCUCUCGCUCAACGAGAGAACUGCCCUGGAUACUGGAGACCUCGAGGGAGGUAGGGGCAUGUGGAACUUCCGGUGGAGCGGUGAAAUGCGUAGAUAUCGGAAGGAACGCCGGUGGCGAAAGCGACGUGCUGGACCUCUUCUGACGCUGAGGCGCGAAAGCCAGGGGAGCAAACGGG